rnacentral:rRNA from 1 species
AACGAACGCUGGCGGCAGGUUUUAGGCAUGCAAGUCGAACGGGUGUAGCAAUACAUCAGUGGUGCCCGAGUGAGUAACGCGUGGGAAUUUGCCCACCGGUGGGGAAUAACGUUUGGAAACGCACGCUAAUACCGCAUACGUCGAGAAAUCGAGGAAGAUUUAUCGCCGAUGGAUAAGCCAGCGUUGGAUUAGCUUGUUGGUAGGGUAAUGGCCUACCAAGGCGAUGAUCCAUAGCUGGUCUUAGAGGACGAUCAGCCACGCUGGGACUGAGACACGGCCCAGACUCCUACGGGAGGCAGCAGCUAAGAAUAUUGGACAAUGGAGGAAACUCUGAUCCAGCCAUGCCGCGUGAGUGAAGAAGGCCUUCGGGUUGCAAAGCUCUAUUAGUCGGGAGGAUGAUGACGGUAGCGACAGAAAAAGCACCGGCUAACUUCGUGCCAGCAGCCGCAGUAA